UUACUGUUUGUCUUCAAGGUCCAGCUUCCCACACUGAAAGCAACUGUCAUAUAAUCAUAUGAUGUGUCAUUAAGUUUUGUUCUUUUCUUGUAUGAGGGCCAUCAUUAUUUCCUCUCCAAUGGCCAAGGGGGCUGCGUUUUCCUCCAUUCUUUCAGUGAAACCUCCUGAACGUUUAGCUUCCUCCCCAGCCCAAAGGGAUGCAGCCCCGGCUGAGUGACCUGACUGACCCCCGAGGAAGGCAACCUGACACGAAGGGGAGACUCCUUGUUCACCCCGAUGCUUCAGAGGAUAAAAUGCAGGGUUUGCUGUAAAGUUUUGUGUAAUGAGAGAGAAACAGAGAGGAAGAGGAAUGGUUCAGACUCGAAGGGUGUACUUGUAAGGCUUGUGGGCCAUCCAUUGCUGAAUGAUGAAGAAGAGAUGAGAAGGCAGGCAGAUAAGGAUCAAGGGAGGAAGCAGAAAACACGACAUGAAAGUUUGGUUGUUGUUGAGAUGUGAUUGAGGUUUUAAAGUACCUCUAUGGAGAUUUUCCCAGGUGAAAAUUACCAUAAAGCGCCAAGUUAAAGGACAGCUGGGCUCAACACUGUGCAGCUAAAACACAAGCCAUUUUAAAAUUGUUGACCUCAAUGUCGCUAAAUGCUAUGCUGACCCUAGAUGGAAAAAGAUGCUGCAAAACUCUGUUAGUACAUGGUCAACUGCAAACCAUUGACGUUUAUCAUAUUAAAAGCAAGCAGACAAAACAAAGCAGGCUAGGCUAGAAAUGUUAUGAACAAUACAGAGGAGGUAAAAUUUAAGUUAUUUCACUAUUUCAUUCUCAUUUUGAACUGGCAUUGAUGCAGAGGGUCCUCCCAAAUCGUAAUUACAUAUGUUUUAUUUUUAUAUAUAGAUUUGUAUAUACACACAUACACACACAUAGUGUCCUUGUGUGAGCAUGCACAUGUGUGUGUGUGAGAGCAUGUAUGUGUGUGUGCCUACAGAGGCCAGAAGAAGAUGUCAGAUCAGCCAGAGCUAGUGUUAGAGACACCAGCAAGCUACCCCACCUGAGUUCUAGGAGUGGAACUUGGUUCCUUUGCAAGAGCCAUGAAUACCCUUAACCACUGAACCAUUUCUCUAGCCCCUAAACUCAUAGUUUCUUCCAAGUCUCUUAAACACCAGGCUGAGAGACAUUUUAAAGAAUGUAACCCGCAUUAGUACAUGAAAACUGGAAUAAAGGACAAAGAAAGAGAAACAAACUCCAGUCCAGCCUCAGGUCCCCGAACGAAACUGAAGAAGACCACAUACCUACCAGCACUGCAUCAUGGGAUAGCAUUCCAUUUGGUCCCACCUGCACUGCAUCAUGGGAUAGAAUUCCAUUUGGUUCCAUUUUGUUUUAGCAACUGUUUAAACAGCCUCCCUCUUAAAGCUCUUGACCAAUCACAUAGCUAAUGCGGUUGUCCAGGCCCAAGCCUCGAACGGUGUGUUGUUGAUUCAAUUCUUCCUUGCAGGAAUCCUUUUCAGUCUCCGGAGCCCUCUCUCCCCUUCUCAAUCCCUCCUUAUCUCCAUCUAGUUCUUUGUUCUUACCUUCUACAAGAUCAGAAGCAAGACCAUGGGUACCUGUUGCACAAGGGAAGGGAGUCUGCCGAUAAAUAGCAUCCCCCGGUUUCCACACAUUAGCCUAUGAAUGAUGCGAGAGCCUUGAGACUGCUGUGGGCCAACACCCUCAAUUGUUUAGACGCCCCUUCUCCUAUUAAUUUAACAAGGAAGGAGAAUAUUUAAGCAGAGAGAAUUCACUCUGAAUUUCCUCCAAAACAAACCAAAGGAGAACAUAAAGGAAGUGGCAGGGAAGCCCCAUAAAUACUCAGGUUCCUGCUUAUGGAGAAUUAUUUAGGAGCUGGAGCAUGCUGGGUAAGCCUGGUUCACAGAUUCUUAACUACUUCUAUCAAACAGUCAGAGGUUGCUGGGAACAGAGAAGCUGAGGCUCCCCCUGGGGAGGUGUAAUUGCUCUGAGUCCUAACUCUGGGGCAAUGGUAGGGAGAGCUCCAAUUGGAGCCCUUCUCCUGUCCCUCAACUUUGCAGGGCAAGAGACUCAGGAGCCCCUUGACCUCCUGUGAUCUGAAGGCCAUGCUUGCUAGCAUAAGAAGCAAAGGUCCUUUGAUGCUCUUUUCCACAGUCAGGGUUGCAUCCGUGACUGCCGUGACUUAAUGAUUCUACAUUUAGUUAUUCACCCUGAUUUGUCCCUGUUUAUGGGUAUGGCUUUUUGAAAUAUCAAAUAAAAAUACGUAAACCGUUUAAUGAGAUUCGGGGUCACCAAACCACAGCUAUGUUUUGGAGACACAGGAGAGCCGGAAACCCAGUGUUGACCUUUUUCUAAAGGAAGAGAGCUGCUUGCCACCCAAGAAUGAUACUCAAAAAUCAUUUGCAUUGGACUCAGAAGCAAGCUGGCCUCAUCCAGAAUGUCACAGGGGACUGGAUGCCUGCAGACAACUUUUCAAUCAGAUAAGGAUCUGCAUAAAGUGCCCGGCUGUUGGAAAAGGGCACCAAGUUGGGCAUUGUCUUGAGAUUCCGGCUCCAGGGCCACCAGAGUGAGCCGAAUCAUCUAGAUUUACCAGCAGUGUCUUCGACUACAAAGGACUUUUACAGUUUCCUCUAUAGCCUUACGUAAUGAUGCUACCAAAUAAGCCGUAGAGUGCGUUCGGUAUGGAAACAUGUUGAAUAAAUAGAUGGGCACGGGCUGAAGUUCUGUGAGAACUGUUCAAUUCCCAGCUUACCUGUAUUUACAUUCCUGUACAGUUCUGUGUGAACCACUCUCUCUCAGACGCCAGCACCGUAUGGCUCCCCAUGCCCCUGCCUGUUUAAACGCCCUUCUCAGGAGGGUCUUAUCUGAUGACCACCAAGUUUUGCAGCCCUCCUCCAGCCCAGCUCCUUUGACUUGCUUUAUUAUUUUCUACCACGUU